AGUGAACGCUGGCGGUAGGCCUAACACAUGCAAGUCGAACGGCAGCGCAGUAUGAGCUUGCCCUUACGGGUGGCGAGUGGCGGACGGGUGAGGAAGACAUCGGAAUCUACUUUUUCGUGGGGGAUAACGUAGGGAAACUUACGCCUACACCGCAUACGACCUACGGGUGUAUGCAGGGUAUCUUCGUACCUUCCGCGAUCGCAUGAGCCCCUGUCGGCUUAGCUAGUUGGCGGGUGAAAGGCCGACCAAGUCGACGAUCCGUAGCUGGUCUGAGAGCAUGAUCGGCCACACUUGAACUGAGACACGGUCCAGACUCCUCCGGGAGGCAGCAGUCGGGAAUAUUCGACCGAGGGCGAAAGCCUGAUGCAGCCAUGCCGCGUGGGUGAAGAAGGCGUUCGGGUUGUAAAGCCCUUUUGUUGGGAAAGAAUGGCAGCAGAUUAGUACGCCGCGGUCGUGACGGUACCCAAAGAAUAAGCACCGGCUAACUUCGUG
rnacentral:rRNA from 1 species